AUUCCCAGCCCUAUUUUGUAUUUUAUUUAGAAACCAGGUUUUACUGAGUUGCUUAGUACCUCACUUUUUCGCUGAGGCUGGCUUUGAACUCACAAUCCUCCUGCCUCAGCUUCCUGAUCCACUGGGAUUACAGACAUGCGCCACUGUGCCUGGCUACAUACCUAAUUUUGAGAAAAACUCUAUUGAUAUUCAAUAAAUUAAAGUUGUAUGUCAAAUUGUAAAUGAUGCUGGGGAAUUACGGAAUGUCUAUUUUCUAUUUCUGCUCCUAUGCAUUUUCUAAAUUGUUUUGUGAUCAACAUGUUACUUUUAUAAUAACAGUCAAGGUUUUAAC
rnacentral:lncRNA from 1 species